UACGGGGGGGCAAGCGUUGUUCGGAAUUACUGGGCGUAAAGGGCGCGUAGGCGGUUUGUUAAGUUGGAUGUGAAAACUGUGGGCUUAACCCAUAGCCUGCAUCCAAAACUAGCAGGCUAGAGUUCUGGAGGGGAUAGCGGAAUUCCUGGUGUAGCGGUGAAAUGCGUAGAUAUCAGGAGGAACACCGGUGGCGAAGGCGGCUAUCUGGACAGAGUCUGACGCUGAGGCGCGAAAGCUAGGGGAGCAAACAGG
rnacentral:rRNA from 1 species